rnacentral:rRNA from 1 species
UGAUGCGCCGACGCCGCCGUUGAGGGAUGAAGGCUUUCGGGUUGUAACCUCUUUUAGCAGGGAACGAAGCUCAAGUGACCGUACCUGCAAAAAAAGCACCGGCUAACUACCUGCCAGCACCCGCGGUAAUACGUAGGGUGCGAGCGUUGUCCGGAUUUAUUGGGCGUAAAGAGCUCGUAGGCGGUUUGUUCCCGUCGGCCGUGAAAACUUGGGGCUUAACCCCGAGCCUGCGGUCGAUACGGGCAGACUUGAGUUCGGCAGGGGAGACUGGAAUUCCUGGUGUAGCGGUGAAUUGCUCAGAUGUCAGGAGGAACUCCGGUGGCGAAGGCGGGUCUCUGGUUCGAUCCUGACGCUGAGGAGCGAUGGCGUGGGGAGCGAACU